CUGUCAUGCCCCAAGGGGCACAAAAUUCACCAAGUCAAUUUGCGAAGGCCAUGUGCUCUAUCCUUGAUCCAUGGCAAUUUGACCACCAUGAGGUCGUCCUGCUUCAAUAUGUGGAUGAUUUGCUGCUUUGUGGAGAUGAUAUACCCACAACAGAACAAUGCUCACUUAAUCUUCUUUGCUACCUAGCAGAACAAGGAUGUAAAGCUUCACGUCUCAAGCUGCAAUUCUGCCAACCUACUGUUAUCUUCC